rnacentral:rRNA from 1 species
GACGAACCGUGCGAACGUUAUUCGGAAUCACUGGGCUUAAAGCGCGUGUAGGCGGGACGGCACGUCGGUCGCUGAAAGCCCCCGGCUCAACUGGGGAGGGUCAUUCGAUACUGUUCGACUCGAAGGCAGGAGAGGGAAGUGGAAUUCCCGGUGUAGUGGUGAAAUGCGUAGAUAUCGGGAGGAACACCAGUGGCGAAGGCGACUUCCUGGCCUGUUCUUGACGCUGAGGCGCGAAAGCUAGGGGAGCAAACGGG